CCCUUAGAUGUUCUGGGCCGCACGCGCGCUACACUGAUGCAUUCAACGAGUCUAAAACCUGCUCUGAUAGGGGUGGGUAAUCUUUUGAAUGUGCAUCGUGAUUGGGAUAGAUGAUUGCAAUUUUUCAUCUUCAACGAGGGAUGCCUAGUAAACGCAAGUCAUCAGCUUGCAUUGAUUACGUCCCUGCCCUUUGUACACACCGCCCGUCGCUCCUACCGAUUGAAUGAUCCGAUGAAUAUCAUGGAUUGAGGAUGCAAGUAGGUUCGCCUAUCUUCAUCUUCGAGAAGUGAAGUAAAUCUUAUCAUUUAGAGGAAGGAGAAGUCGUAACA
rnacentral:rRNA from 1 species